rnacentral:rRNA from 1 species
GAUAGAGGAUGCAAGCGUUAUCCAGAAUGAUUGGGCGUAAAGCGUCUGUAGGUGGCUUUUCAAGUCCGCCGUCAAAUCCCAGGGCUCAACCCUGGACAGGCGGUGGAAACUACCAAGCUGGAGUACGGUAGGUGCAGAGGGAAUUUCCGAUGGAGUGGUGAAAUGCAUUGAGAUCGGAAAGAACACCAACGGCAAAAGCACUCUGCUGGGCCGACACUGACACUGAGAGACGAAAGCUAGGGGAGCAAAUGGG